rnacentral:rRNA from 1 species
CCCUUAGAUGUCCUGGGCUGCACGCGCGCUACACUGAUGUGUCCAGUAAGCACCUAACCUCUUCCGAAAGGAACGGGUAACCUUGCAAAGCACAUCGUGAUGGGGAUAGAUUAUUGCAAUUAUUAGUCUUGAACGAGGAAUUCCUAGUAAGCACAAGUCAUCAGCUUGUGUUGAUUACGUCCCUGCCCUUUGUACACACCGCCCGUCGCUCCUACCGAUUGAAUGUUCCGGUGAGCUCUUCGGACUGCGCGGUCUGCAGUUUCUGCGUUCCGUGCGGAAAGUUGCGCAAACCUUAACAUUUAGAGGAAGGAGAAGUCGUAACA